rnacentral:rRNA from 1 species
CCUACGGGAGGCAGCAGUGGGGAAUUUUGCGCAAUGCUCGUAAGAGUGACGCAGCGACGCCGCGUGAAUGACGAAGGCCUUCGGGUCGUAAAGUUCUUUCGACAGGGAAGAAAAUGCCUAUAAGUAACUGUGUAUGUAUUGACGGUACCUGUAUAAGCAGCCCCGGCUAACUCCGUGCCAGCAGCCGCGGUAAUACGGAGGGGGCGAGCGUUGUUCGGAGUGACUGGGCGUAAAGAGCACGUUGGCGGUGUUGUAAGUCAUUAGUCAAAGACUAGAGCUGAACAUUAGUAAGGCUAGUGAUACUAUAAUACGAGAGUAUCAGAGAGGAUUGCAGAAUUCCUGGUGUAGCGGUGAAAUGCGUAGAUAUCAGGAGGAAUACCGUUAGCGAAGGCGGCAAUCUGGCUGGAAACUGACGCGGAGGUGCGAAAGCGUGGGUAGCAAACAGGAUUAGAUACCCUGGUAGUC